rnacentral:rRNA from 1 species
GAUGAACGCUGGCGGCGUGCCUAAUACAUGCAAGUCGAGCGAACAGACGAGGAGCUUUCUCCUCUGACGUUAGCGGCGGACGGGUGAGUAACACGUGGAUAACCAACCUAUAAGACUGGGAUAACUUCGGGAGACCGGAGAUAAUACCGGAUAAUAUAUUGAACCGCAUGGUUCAAUAGUGACAGACGGUUUUGCUGUCACUUAUAGAUGGAUCCGCGCCGCAUUAGCUAGUUUGUAAGGUAACGGCUUACCAAGGCAACGAUGCUUAGCCCACCUGAGAGGGUGGUCGGCCACACUGGAACUGAGACACGGUCCAGACUCCUACGGGAGGCAGCAGUAGGGAAUCUUCCGCAAUGGGCGAAAGCCUGACGGAGCAACGCCGCGUGAGUGAUGAAGGUCUGCGGAUCGUAAAACUCUGUUAUUAGGGAAGAACAAAUGUGUAAGUAACUAGGCACGUCUUGACGUUACCUAAUCAGAAAGCCACGGCUAACUACGUG